UUGCUAUUUAGAUUUGUAACCGAAUAGUCUUCGAAAAACCAUUUUUCUAUUUGAUAGUUCUAAUGCUCACGUUCUGAAGGAGACGCUUGUUUUCAAGAUAUACCGAGACCCAUGUUCAACAAAUGCAUAUCGAUUGAUUUUGUACAGUGAUUGCUGCGUCUGAAACAGCGAGCAUGGAGAACAA